CAGUCGUACCUGCGGACAAUCAGCUUUUUAAGUGUGAUUAUGUGGAUUGUGAGGAGUUUAAUCACCCUCAUGUUUUACGUAUUCGUGCUCUUGGGUGUACUUGCCCGUGUGGUAGGUUAACAUCAAUUUUGGUCGUCAUAAAAUGACUGGAGGAAUGUAGCUUCGAUCUUGUAUUGAAGUGUUAUAGACUCUGGUAGAUGGUGACGAUUGGGGAAUUGAGGAUUGCAACGGAUACCUCGGGGCUACUCGUCUGAUCUCUGAAGGUUGCUCCGGUGCCGAAAGCGUGCUUACGGUCAUCGAAAGUGA
rnacentral:rRNA from 1 species